rnacentral:rRNA from 1 species
GUGCACGCUGGCGGUAGGCCUAACACAUGCAAGUCGAACGGCAGCACAGUAAGAGCUUGCUCUUACGGGUGGCGAGUGGCGGACGGGUGCGGAAUACAUCGGAAUCUACUUUUUCGUGGGGGCUAAUGUAGGCAAACUCACGCUAAUACCGCAUACGACCUACGGGUGAAAUCAGCGGAUCUUCUGACCUUGCGUCAUUGAAUGAUCCGAUGUCGGAGUAGAUAGUUGGCGGGGUAGUGGCCCACCAAGGCGACGAUCCGGCGCUGAUCUGAGAGGAUGAUCAGCCACAGUGGAUCUGAGACACGGUACAGACUCCUACGAGAGGCAGCAGUGGGGAAUAUUGGACAAUGGGCGAAAGCCUGAUCCCGCCAUACCGCGUGGGUGAAGAAGGCCUUCGUGUUGUAAAGCCCUUUUGUUGGGAAAGAAAAGCAGCAGGUUAAUACCCCGCUGUUCUGACGGUACCCACAGAAUAAGCACCGGCUAACUUCGU